UACGUAGGGGGCGAGCGUUGUCCGGAAUUAUUGGGCGUAAAGAGCGUGUAGGCGGUUCGGUAAGUCUGUCGUGAAAACCUGGGGCUCAACCCCAGGCGUGCGGUGGAUACUGCCGGGCUAGAGGAUGGUAGAGGCGAGUGGAAUUCCCGGUGUAGCGGUGAAAUGCGCAGAUAUCAGGAGGAACACCGGUGGCGAAGGCGGGUCUCUGGGCCGAUACUGACGCUGAGGAGCGAAAGCGUGGGGAGCGAACAGG
rnacentral:rRNA from 1 species